GACGAACGCUGGCGGCGUGCUUAACACAUGCAAGUCGAACGGAAAGGCCCUGCUGUUGUGGGGUGCUCGAGUGGCGAACGGGUGUGUAACACGUGAGUAACCUCCCCUUGACUUUGGGAUAUCUUCAGGAAACUGGGGCUAAUACCGGAUAGGAGCUCCUGCUGCAUGGGGGGGGUUGGAAAGUUUCGGCGGUUGGGGGUCGGCUCGCGGCUUAUCAGCUUGGUGGGGGGGUAGUGGCUUACCAAGGCUAUGACGGGUAGGCCGCCUGUGGGGGUGAGCGGCCACCCUGGGACCGAGAGGCGGCCCCAGCUGCGAAGGGAGGGCACAGGGGGGAAUAAUGCCGGAGGGGCGGAAGGCUGGUGCAGCAGCGCCGCGGGCGGGAAGACGGCCUUCGGGGUGGAAAACGUCUUUGCCUGUGACGGAGCGUAAGUUGACGGUACCGGUAAAGAAGACCCCGGCCAACUACGU
rnacentral:rRNA from 1 species